AGAUUUGACCUAGGAACUCCCGUCUCUAGGCCUGGCUCUUAUCCACUGAGCUACCCAGCUGCCCCCCAAAACACACUUUAAAUGGAUGAGGGGAAUGAUAUUUGAGCAUAAAGUCAAUUGGCUUUAUUCAUUGGAGUGUAAUUAGGGUAGUAAGUUCAGAAGUGUACUUUGGGAAAAACACUUUGGUGGUGGAGUGGAGUGGGGGCAGACAAGAUCUAACACCUGACUGGACAUGUAGGAGUGGAGGACACCACCAAAGUUGUCCAUCUAGGUGACUGAAGGUUCGGCAGACCAUGGGCAAUAUACUUGGGCAACUUGGGAGAGGCUAGGUUUGUGGGGAAAGAUAAUGUCAUGAGAUGUAGGAUGUGUGGCAACCCAUUCAUGCCUGCUAACUCAGCCAGGAGGUGACCUGGAGGACAGUGAGUAUGUCAGAGGGCCAGGGUAUUUUCCCAAUGACAUCUGUGCAGCAGCUGGGAGUGCCCAGGGGGAAGUUAGAAGCUUAUGCAGCAUAGGGAAUUGGGGGAAUGUGGGAAGAUAAGGGUUGGCCCCACUCUCCCCCUUCUGGGAUGAAAGCCAUCUUUCCAACCUCUGGUUGAUCAUAUAGCCCCAGUCAGCCCCUGGCCUCCCAGUUGGUACACAGUUGGUAUAAAUGACCACUGGAAAAUUAAAGCAGCUUUCCACUGACUAUCCUCACGACUCACUUCCUCCUCCCCUGACGAAUGGUAACAACCUAUUUUUUUUUCCUUUUUGGCAGCCAAGGAAGGAGUAUUCAACCAUCUAACCUAAAUAAAUUUCCCUCCACGUGCCAGGCACUGAAGAGACAAGUAAAAGCAAACAGAAGAAAUAAUGCCUAUGGUCAAACAUUCUAGUUCCAGAAAUUAAAUAUCAUUUUCACAGAUAAAAUGCUACUGGUUUCUGAUGAAGAGCUCUUUGAAAGUGCUGAGGAUUUUGGUGUCAAACAUUUUCUUUUCUGGACCUCCAGUAGGUAUCACUUUAGUACCUUUUAAAUAUAUUGUCAUAGCCUUUUUGUGAGUAUUUUAUUUAAUAUCCCCUUUUCUCCAAAGAGAGUUGAAAAAUUAUAUAAUAUAAAGUAAUAACUAAAACAAUAAAUAUAAUAUUAAAAAAUCGCUUGGAGGGAAA
rnacentral:lncRNA from 1 species